rnacentral:misc_RNA from 1 species
CUGUGAGAUUACAUAUGCAUAUAGUGUUAAUGUUAUAAGAGUGUAGUAUCAACUCACAAAGUUAUCAGGUUAAAUAGCUUUAUCAACUAAUAAAAAUGUUAUUGCAUCACUAAUGUUAUACUGUAGCCCCGCCACGAUAUCUAGAAAAAUUAUUUUGCUGAGUAUCGUAGUAAAAGCUAAGAUAUGAUGUUAAGAAUUUUUUUG